AGAGUUUGAUCCUGGCUCAGGAUGAACGCUAGCGGCAGGCUUAAUACAUGCAAGUCGAGGGGCAGCGCAGUGUAGCAAUACAUGGGCGGCGACCGGCAAACGGGUGCGGAACACGUACAGAACCUUCCUUUAAGUGGGGAAUAGCCCAGAGAAAUUUGGAUUAAUACCCCGUAACAUUAUGAAGUGGCAUCACUUUAUAAUUAUAGAUUUAUCGCUUAAAGAUGGCUGUGCGACUGAUUAGGUAGUUGGCGGGGUAACGGCCCACCAAGCCUGCGAUCAGUAACUGGUGUGAGAGCACGACCAGUCACACGGGCACUGAGACACGGGCCCGACUCCUACGGGAGGCAGCAGUAAGGAAUAUUGGUCAAUGGACGCAAGUCUGAACCAGCCAUGCCGCGUGGAGGAUGAAGGUCCUCUGGAUUGUAAACUUCUUUUAUCUGGGAAGAAACCCAUGGAUUCUUCUGUGGUUGACGGUACCAGAUGAAUAAGCACCGGCUAACUCCGUGCCAGCCGCCGCGGUAAUAC
rnacentral:rRNA from 1 species